GGCUGAUUCCAUGGUAGUGGGUUAUCAGAACUUAGUGUUACUAAAGUUGAUAUACAACUCCCCACUGCUAAAUUUGACUGGCUUAAA
rnacentral:Y_RNA from 1 species